rnacentral:rRNA from 1 species
AUUGAACGCUGGCGGCAUGCCUUACACAUGCAAGUCGAACGGCAGCAUGAUCUCGCUUGCUAGAUUGAUGGCGAGUGGCGAACGGGUGAGUAAUACAUCGGAACGUGCCCUGUAGUGGGGGAUAACUAGUCGAAAGAUUAGCUAAUACCGCAUACGACCUGAGGGUGAAAGUGGGGGACCGCAAGGCCUCAUGCUAUAGGAGCGGCCGAUGUCUGAUUAGCUAGUUGGUGAGGUAAAGGCUCACCAAGGCGACGAUCAGUAGCUGGUCUGAGAGGGCGAUCAGCCACACUGGGACUGAGACACGGCCCAGACUCCUACGGGAGGCAGCAGUGGGGAAUUUUGGACAAUGGGCGAAAGCCUGAUCCAGCAAUGCCGCGUGUGUGAAGAAGGCCUUCGGGUUGUAAAGCACUUUUGUCCGGAAAGAAAUGGCUCUGGUUAAUACCUGGGGUCGAUGACGGUACCGGAAGAAUAAGGACCGGCUAACUACGUG